rnacentral:rRNA from 1 species
UAGGGAAUCUUCCGCAAUGGACGCAAGUCUGACGGAGCAACGCCGCGUGAGUGAAGAAGGAUUUCGGUUCGUAAAACUCUGUUGUUAGAGAAGAACAGCGCAUAGAGUAACUGUUAUGCGUGUGACGGUAUCUAACAAGAAAGCCACGGCUAACUACGUGCCAGCAGCCGCGGUAAUACGUAGGUGGCAAGCGUUGUCCGGAUUUAUUGGGCGUAAAGCGAGCGCAGGCGGUAAAUUAAGUCUGAUGUGAAAGCCCCCGGCUCAACCGGGGAGGGUCAUUGGAAACUGGUUGACUUGAGUGCAGAAGAGGAGAGUGGAAUUCCAUGUGUAGCGGUGAAAGGCGUAGAUAUAUGGAGGAACACCAGUGGCGAAGGCGACUCUCUGGUCUGUAACUGACGCUGAGGCUCGAAAGCGUGGGUAGCAAACAGG